rnacentral:sRNA from 1 species
ACUGGGCAUGGUGGCACAUGCCUGUAAUCCCAGUAGCUUGGGAAGCUGAUACAGGAGGAUCACGAGUUCAAAGCUAGCCUCAGCAAAAGGUGAGGCACUAAACAACUCAGUGAGACCCUGUCUCUA